GACCUUCGGGUCUAGCGGCGGACGGGUGAGUAACGCGUGGGAACGUGCCCUUCUCUACGGAAUAGCCCCGGGAAACUGGGAGUAAUGACCGUAUACGCCCUUUGGGGGAAAGAUUUAUCGGAGAAGGAUCGGCCCGCGUUGGAUUAGGUAGUUGGUGGGGUAAUGGCCCACCAAGCCGACGAUCCAUAGCUGGUUUGAGAGGAUGAUCAGCCACACUGGGACUGAGACACGGCCCAGACUCCUACGGGAGGCAGCAGUGGGGAAUCUUAGACAAUGGGGGCAACCCUGAUCUAGCCAUGCCGCGUGAGUGAUGAAGGCCUUAGGGUUGUAAAGCUCUUUCAGCUGGGAAGAUAAUGACGGUACCAGCAGAAGAAGCCCCGGCUAACUCCGUGCCAGCAGCCGCGGUAAUACGGAGGGGGCUAGCGUUGUUCGGAAUUACUGGGCGUAAAGCGCACGUAGGCGGACUGGAAAGUCAGAGGUGAAAUCCCAGGGCUCAACCUUGGAACUGCCUUUGAAACUAUCAGUCUGGAGUUCGAGAGAGGUGAGUGGAAUUCCGAGUGUAGAGGUGAAAUUCGUAGAUAUUCGGAGGAACACCAGUGGCGAAGGCGG
rnacentral:rRNA from 1 species